rnacentral:misc_RNA from 1 species
UUUCCGUAGGUGAACCUGCGGAAGGAUCAUUACAAAGUCCUGGCCGGUCUGGCCGCCGUAAGCGCCGGCGGGAGCCCCUCGUGCCCCGUCGGUGCUGAUGGCCGACCCUUUGUGAAAACCCCCCCCUUGUUGAUUCGGCAGCGCCUCCCGGCUCGUCCGGGGCAUCAGCCUGCCGGUGAUACCUUUGGAAACCCUUUUGUCCUGAAAGGAAGCAUUGAUAACGUCUGAGCGCGCAGUCGAAUGACACGUAAAACUUUCAACAACGGAUCUCUUGGUUCCCGCAUCGAUGAAGAACGCAGC